GUAAAAAAAAAACUAUAAAACCCCACUCCCCUUGAUUUUUUACACAAAAAAGUCCUCCUAUCCAAAUUCUCUCAAAUUCUCUCAAAUUCUUCCAAAAAUUCUCUCAUAUUCUCUCAAAUUUUCUCAAAGCUAUCUUUAAUUUUUGCAAAAAAGCUCUAUUUAAAUUUUUUUUUGAAUUAGUUGUAUUUUAAAUUAAAUUUUUGCAAUGGAAAAAGAAUUAAUU
rnacentral:lncRNA from 1 species